rnacentral:rRNA from 1 species
CCUACGGGGGGCAGCAGUGAGGCAUCUUGGUCAAUGGCCGGAAGGCUGAACCAGCCAAGCCGCGUGAAGUACGAAGGUGCCCAGCAUUGUAAACUUCUUUUGUCAAAGGACAAAAUCAGGCUCGAGAGCCUGACCGAGGGUACUUGAAGAAAAAGCAUCGGCUAACUCCGUGCCAGCAGCCGCGGUAAUACGGCGGAUGCGAGCGUUAUCAGGAUUUAUUGGGUUUAAAGGGUUCGUAGGCGGAUGGUUAACGCAUCGGUCAAAGCCCGGGGCUCAACCCCGGCGAGCCGUUGAAACGGGCUGUCUUGAGAUGUCGAGAGGUAUGCGGAAUGCGCAGUGUAGCGGUGAAAUGCUUAGAUAUUGCGCAGAACUCCGAUUGCGAAGGCAGCAUACCGGCGGCGAUCUGACGCUGAGGCACGAAAGCGUGGGUAUCGAACAGGAUUAGAUACCCGAGUAGUC